GGGGUUGUGGCUCAGAGGUAGAGCACUCACCUAGUGCAUGUGAGGCUCUGGAUUCGAUUCUCAGCACCACA
rnacentral:tRNA from 1 species